rnacentral:rRNA from 1 species
UGGAAACUNUCUGACUUGAGUGCAGAAGGGGAGAGUGGAAUUCCAUGUGUAGCGGUGAAAUGCGUAGAUAUAUGGAGGANCACCAGUGGCGAAAGCGGCUNUCUGGUCUGUCACUGACGCUGAGGCUCGAAAGCGUGGGUAGCGAACAGGAUUAGAUACCCUGGUAGUNCACGCCGUAAACGAUGAGUGCUAGGUGUUAGGCCCUUUCCGGGGCUUAGUGCCGGAGCUAACGCAAUAAGCACUCCGCCUGGGGAGUACGACCGCAAGGUUGAAACUCAAAGGAAUUGACGGGGGCCCGCACAAGCGGUGGAGCAUGUGGUUUAAUUCGAAGCAACGCGAAGAACCUUACCAGGUCUUGACAUCCCGAUGCUAUUCUUAGAGAUAGGAAGUUACUUCGGUACAUCGGAGACAGGUGGUGCAUGGUUGUCGUCAGCUCGUGUCGUGAGAUGUUGGGUUAAGUCCCGCAACGAGCGCAACCCUUAUUGUUAGUUGCCAUCAUUAAGUUGGGCACUCUAGCGAGACUGCCGGUAAUAAACCGGAGGAAGGUGGGGAUGACGUCAAAUCAUCAUGCCCCUUAUGACCUGGGCUACACACGUGCUACAAUGGUCGGUACAACGAGUUGCGAGCCGGUGACGGCAAGCUAGUCUCUGAAAGCCGAUCUCAGUUCGGAUUGGAGGCUGCAACUCGCCUCCAUGAAGUCGGAAUCGCUAGUAAUCGCGGAUCAGCACGCCGCGGUGAAUACGUUCCCGGGCCUUGUACACACCGCCCGUCACACCACGAGAGUUUGUAACACCCGAAGUCGGUGAGGUANCCUUUUAGGG